rnacentral:siRNA from 1 species
ACGAGCUGGGAGCGCGAUCGC